GAGUAUGUAAAGAACCAAGCCACCUGCAACCUUGGAAAGUCUUGUUUAUGGUAUAGUAGAAAAAUAUUUUGACAAUGGAUGUUUUAGGAUUUUAGCCAAUCACCCCAAGGGGGGGCUGAUCCUUUGUCCAAUUAGACUAUGAAGAAAAAAGUCUAUAAAAGAGUUUGUAAAAUAAUUAAAUCAAUCAAUCUUGCUGCACAAUUCCUGCCUGAUGGAUCUUCUCCUCCUCCUCCUCCCUAUGGCUGUGGGACACGGUGAUAUACCCUAGGGCCCAGGCCUGUGGUAAUAUUUGGUGCUCCCUGACGUGAUCUGCACUCUCUGACGUGUCCUGCUGCUGCAAGUCAAGCCGAAUUUCUCUAGAGGCAUUCCCACUGCUGGAGCUGCUCUUCCUGUAUACUAAUGAAGACAUGAUGCAGGGAGUGAACCACAGGACACUUGUGUCUGGAAGGUCUUGUCAACACUCGGGAGAAGGGAGAGCUAAUUCACUACCAGGUCAGCUUCCUGGAGACAACACCCCGUUUUCAUCUGAGGACAGAUACACCAGUCUAUAUGGAGCUUUAACUCUUGCUGAAAUCAAAGAUGUGCUGGUAUAAAAUGAUUCCUAUUAGCAAUGUACAUUAACCCAGGAAUGAACUGUGGCCCAAUUUUCAGCAGACAUGUAGCAGCCUGGAGGGUAUUGGCAACUUUUGGACAACAAAAACGAAUGUCACUCUUUAAAAGGUAUAUUUAACAAAUCAAACUGAAAGAAUAAAAUAGAGUGUGGAUAUCUGUCAUCACUAAAGGUGUUCUUGGUUCACUGAUCUAUUGUAGACAGCUAUGGUUUUUCCAUGGUGACUGCAUAGUAUGUCAUGCAGCUCAGAGAAUUAAUUGGGUUUUAAAAGCUUGUUCACUGGGUGAUGAAAUACUCUUUCUUCUCUUCUUAAC
rnacentral:lncRNA from 13 species